rnacentral:tmRNA from 1 species
GGGGGCGUAAAGGUUUCGACGGGGACGAAGAAGCCGCUGAAGCAAGUAGCUGUGCGGAGCAGCUUUAAAAUCCGCAAUUUUAAAAUUAAACGCUAACGAUAAUUUAGCUUACGCUGCCUAAUUAAGGCGGCCGUCCUCCUUCCGUUACCGCGGCGGGAGAUGAGGGCGCCAGACACGCGGUGAACAUGAGCAUGCAAAGCUUUGCGCAUGCCACGACCAAUGAAGCUACCGAAGGAAGAGCUUUGUUUGCGGCGCUUUUCCGAAGGGAAUUUUAAUCCACAAACUAAACUUGUAGAAACAGCGGGGGAUACGUUUUCGGACGGGAGUUCGACUCUCCCCGCCUCCACCA